UCCGCAGCGCCGGGGGCUCGUGGGCCCGGGCCGGGGCAGACGCGCACAGACGGACGGAGCCGCCCGGCUGGAGGGAGAGACGCUGCGGCCGCGGGCUAUUUUAUUGCAAAGCCACUGUGGAAUCCUCAUCUUUCAGACUUUCUGUGGUGGAGUCAGUUGAGCCAAAAUUGUAUCAGACUUAUUUGUUCUGGGGCUUGUCAUCUCUGUCUGACAUAUUAUUGUCUUAAACCAAAAUACGGUGCAAUGUCAGCUGUGGAACAGCAACAGGCAGAACCUUCUCCAUCAUCCAAUUCAUCCAGUUCCUUUGAAGUAGUGGAGGCAGAUACUGCAAAUAAGUAUGAGGCAGUUGUUCCUCACUGGUUUUACUGCAAGGUAAUAGAUUCUAGAGAGAGGUGGAUCCCUUUCAGUCAACAAGACUCGGAGAAGUUAGAAGAGGCCCACAACUCAAGGAAAGACGAUGAACAGCUGGUAGUUCCAACGGAAGGGGGCAGGUAUGAUGUGCAUUUGAAGAAGAGGCUGCGCUGUGCCAUGUAUUGGGAGGAAGAGGUGUCUGAAGUGAGACGCUGCACCUGGUUUUACAAGGGAGACAAGGACAACAAGUAUAUUCCCUACUCGGAGAGCUUCAGCGAAGAGUUGGAGGAAACGUACAUGAUUGCCAUAACUCUGGACGAGUGGAAAAAGAAACUUGAAUCCCCUACUAGAGAAAUCAUUAUAUUGCAUAACCCAAAGCUGAUGGUGCACUACCAUCCAGUGACAACCUCUGAUGACUGGGGCUCAACCCCUACAGAACAAGGUCGACCAAGAACUGUUAAGAGAGGAGUGGAGAACAUCUCCGCUGACAUCCCCUGCGGGGAGCCUCUGCAAAUAGAUCACUUGGUUUUUGUUGUUCAUGGAAUUGGGCCAGCAUGUGAUAUCCGGUUCCGGUCCAUCAUCCAAUGUGUGAACGACUUCCGUAACGUUUCCUUGAGCAUGCUGCAAGCACACUUCAAGAAAGCCCAGGAGCAGCAACAGAUUGGCCGGGUAGAGUUUUUGCCUGUAAACUGGCACAGCCCUUUGCAUUCCACGGGGGUGGAUGUCGAUUUGGAGCGAAUUACCUUGCCGAGCAUCAACCGCCUGCGGCACUUCAUAAACGACACCAUACUGGAUGUUUUCUUCUACAAUAGCUCCACCUACUGCCAGACCAUAGUGGAUACUGUUGCUUCAGAAAUGAACCGUCUGUAUCGGCUCUUCCUGCAGAGGAACCCUGACUUUAAAGGGGGUGUUUCCAUCGCGGGCCACAGCUUAGGGUCACUGAUAUUGUUUGAUCUCCUAACAAAUCAGAAAGAUUCCUCUGAGGAUGAAGAUGACAACAAAGAGGGGUCCCAGAUGGGUGCCUAUGGACAGGGAGACAUUGGGGGAGUGAAAGAAAUCCUGAAGAAGCUUGAGCUGUCUGAGUACUACAGUGUCUUUGAGAAGGAGAGAAUGGACACACAAGCACUGGCUCUGUGUACGGAGAAGGAUCUUAAAGACAUGGGAAUUCCCUUGGGACCAAGAACAAAGAUCCUUCAUUAUGUAAGAACCAAAGAUGAAAGACAGGAUGCUCAGCAGCAGGCCCCUGUCCCUGUUGGGAAUAACAAGAGCGAAGAUGCUCCCAAACCUGAGUCAGGGUCAUCCCCGCAGCUGGGCGCCUGGAGCAGCAGCAUGAAUGGUGGGGGGAAGUGUCAAUACUUGGAUGUCGGGCUAGGACAGGUCUCAGCAAAUUACCCUCAGCUAAUCUACAAACCUGACAUCUUCUUUGCUUUUGGGUCUCCCAUUGGGAUGUUUCUCACUGUACGAGGUGUGAAAAGGAUUGAUCCAAACUACAGCCUUCCUACCUGCAAAGGCUUCUUCAAUAUCUUCCAUCCUUUUGACCCCGUGGCGUACAGGAUUGAGCCUAUGAUCAUUCCAGACCUGGAGUUCGAGCCCAUGCUGCUCCCUCAUCACAAGGGCAGGAAGAGAAUGCAUUUAGAACUGAAAGAGGGCCUGACCCGCAUGGGUAUGGAUCUCAAGAACAACCUGCUGGGGUCACUGAGGAUAGCCUGGCAGUCUUUCACCAGAUCCCCACUGCUGGCUGUGGAGGCAGCAGCCACUGAAAAGGAAGCUGAAACUAGCUUGGAGAAACAGACAGUCCAUUCAGAUAUGAAGCCCGAAGAGCCUGCUGCUAUAGGGAAGGAAGACACCCCUCCUAUCAAUGUGGGAAUGCUAAAUGGAGGCCACCGGAUUGACUAUGUGCUGCAAGAGAAGCCUAUAGAGAGUUUUAAUGAAUAUUUAUUUGCACUACAAGGCCAUCUCUGCUACUGGGAGUCCGAAGAUACCGUUCUCUUGAUUCUGAAAGAGAUCUACCAAACACAGGGCAUUACAUUAGAUCAGCCUCUACAAUGAAGUCAGAUGACCAGCUGCACUGUUCUGGUGACAUGAUGUGCACACCAAGUGACUACUCACCUGGAAAGCCCGGAAUUCCCUCUGCCUUCCUAUCCUCUGCUGCUACUGUAUCCUGCAUGCUGCUUCCUGCAUACCUGCUGCUGCCUGGAGCACUGGGAGAUUUUUCUCAUUUUGGGGGGAAAAAAAUCAACGCAAAACACUCUCUUCUCCUAAAAUACCCACUAUGGACUUGCCCCUGUGCCCAUUGUGACGCCCAUGGGAUCGUUCACGCCAACACCAUUCAGCUGACUAGUCUGAUCAUCUCGCAAAACCCCUCUGCAGUAGGAGUGGGACCUGUCCAAGGAAGAGGGGCUUAAGCCCAGUAACUGCAGCUGGGGGCUGAGGACAGACCAACUCCAUGUCCAGUUCCUUAGCAAAGCAUUCAAUCUAGACUCAGUCAAGACCUCAUUAGGAGAAAAAAUAGCUGCAUUUGAGUGUGGAUGAACAGCUGUGGUGGUAGAGGCUUUCAGUGUGAUUCAUGGGCCAAACGCUCUCCUUUACCCCACCCAUUCCACACUGCUGAGUUCAAAGUGGCUACAUUGGUACAGCUGAGGGGAGCAUCUGGCAUCAUCAACCAACCUCUCCUAUAUAAACAGGUGCUGUGACACUAGAUCCAUGUUCACAAAAUGUGGGUGACCCUGCUGAUGAAACCAUAGGAACCUUUUGUACACAGCCAUGGCUUAUGCUGUAUUAACCAGGAGCUGCUGAAUGAUUGCU